AGAGUUUGAUCCUGGCUCAGGACGAACGCUGGCGGCGUGCCUAACACAUGCAAGUCGAGCGAGACUUUCAAGACUGAUCCCUUCGGGGUGACGACUUGAUUGUUCUAGCGGCGGAUGGGUGAGUAACGCGUGAGAAACCUGCCUUUCACAAAGGAAUAGCCUCGGGAAACUGGGAUUAAUACCUUAUGAUAGCUUAACUCCACAUGGAGUCUAGCUUAAAGCGUAAAGCGGUGAAAGAUGGUCUCGCGUCCCAUUAGUUAGUUGGUGAGGUAAUGGCUCACCAAGACAACGAUGGGUAGCCGGCCUGAGAGGGUGAACGGCCACACUGGAACUGAGACACGGUCCAGACUCCUACGGGAGGCAGCAGUGGGGAAUAUUGCACAAUGGAGGAAACUCUGAUGCAGCGACGUCGCGUGAACGAUGAAGGCUUUCGAGUCGUAAAGUUCUGUCCUAGGGGACGAUAAUGACGGUACCCUAGGAGGAAGCCCCGGCUAACUACGUGCCAGCAGCCGCGGUAAUACGUAGGGGGCAAGCGUUGUCCGGAUUUAUUGGGCGUAAAGGGUACGCAGGCGGCCUUUUAAGUCAGAUGUGAAAUCUUACGGCUCAACCGUAAUUAGCAUUUGAAAACUGGAAUGCUUGAGUUAAGGAGAGGAAAGUGGAAUUCCUAGUGUAGCGGUGAAAUGCGUAGAUAUUAGGAGGAAUAUCAGUGGCGAAGGCGACUCUCUGGGACUUUUACUGGACGCUGAAGGUACGAAA
rnacentral:rRNA from 1 species